rnacentral:rRNA from 1 species
UGGGGAAUCUUGGACAAUGGGGGCAACCCUGAUCCAGCCAUGCCGCGUGGGUGAAGAAGGCCUUAGGGUUGUAAAACCCUUUCAGCGGGGAAGAUGAUGACGGUACCCGCAGAAGAAGCCCCGGCUAACUCCGUGCCAGCAGCCGCGGUAAUACGGAGGGGGCUAGCGUUGUUCGGAAUUACUGGGCGUAAAGGGCGUGUAGGCGGUUUGCCGAGUCAGGCGUGAAAGCCCCGGGCUUAACCUGGGAACUGCGUUUGAUACUGGCAGGCUAGAGGUUGGAAGAGGAGAGUGGAAUUCCCAGUGUAGAGGUGAAAUUCGUAGAUAUUCGGAAGAACACCAGUGGCGAAGGCGACUCACUGGACAGUUAUUGACGCUGAGGUGCGAAAGCGUGGGGAGCAAACAGGAUUAGAUACCCCCGUAGUCC